GGAACAGUAACGGGGGCUGCUCAUCUCACUGCGCCGGUGAAGCAGCCACCAAAACCCGGCCGGGCAGGAGCCGGGGCUGGGGGGCUCUGCUUGGACCAGGAUUGGAGCAGACUGAUCGCAGCUCUCGCUCCUGCCCAGCCCGCCAUGGUUCCUGUGACAUGCUUCGCACUCUUCGUCAUAGGCAUUGCAAUUGUAGGGGGGAAAGAAAUGCCCGGGCCUCCGAGCAGCAGCUGAUGCCUUGCUGACCAGAAUUAGAACUCCUGAUUACCAUGGCAAUUGAACAGAAGUGGAUUUCCUUCCUUCCAAGAAGCCUGAUUGGCGUCUUCCAACUACUGGAACAAGAAAACCCUACAGAACUGCAGCUGCCCCUUCAAAUGUGUUGGAUGGCCUUGAGCAAUAAAUCCUUUAGAAAUCUUUAAUAAAAGUGCAUUGAUGAUGUGGGUGUGUGGUGGUGCUUGGUGUGCAUCGUGGCACAGGCUCCCUGCAGGGACAGCCCCAAGGUCCAAUGUCCUGGAGAUGGGGGAGCCCCAGCCCUGCUCCAGCAGGAACAGCAACACUGAGAGUUACUGAGAAUGAAACUGAAACUCAGUGACUAAGCAAUUUCUCAGAAAUUACCUGUCGUGACAUUUCCUGUUGGGAUCUUUCCUGCUGCGCUUUGACCCUCAGAGCACAGUACACACAGGACAGGCCCAGGCUCACAGAGGACCCAGUGCAGCUCGUGCUCCUGCCCAGCCCGCCAUGGUGAAGAAGAGGAAUAUCAUUGGAGCUGUCAUUGGAGGCACAGUGGGAGCAGGAGCUGCAGGUCUCUCUCUUGGUGCCAAAGUUGGGCUGACUUCUGCCCUGGGCUCAGCUGGUGCAGCAAGUGGUGCCUGGCUGUCCAAGCAGAAGAAACCUCCAAGUGACAAACCCAAAAAAGGAUAAAAAUCCAAGUGAUAAACCAAAACAAACCCUCAAAAACCUGGGUGGUAAAUAUGGAUGAUAAAUAUGAGGAGGAGACAACUCCAGACAAGAGAAGCCAAGCAGGUGCCUGAUCCCAAGGCGUUGCCAUGCACAGUGUCAGAUUGUGGGAAACGCCCACAGGGAUCUUUCCUCCCCUUUUAAAAGCUUUGGAUUCUUGUGAGCAGCGAUUUCCCUGAAGCCAAUAAAUGUGCUUUGCUUGCA